GUGACUUGUAAACUUUGAUAGUGAUUAACAUGAUUAUAAAAUUUAUCUUAUUUUGAAUAUUACAUAAUUUCUUGUGAUUGCGAUAACCGAGUGAUUAAUUUUUCAAAGAGUUUUGUUUCUUCUAGUGUUGCUUUGUCUUCUAACUCUGAAAGCCGUAUGUGUUGUGAUGCUACCACCGAGAACGUGUGUCUGUGGGUGGCUGCAUUCACUCCUCUUCCUCAUUUUUUUUUUUUUUUUUCGUAAAGUGCGCGUGAAAAGGUCAUGUUGUUUACUGUCAGCAUGGCUGAACAUCUUCCUACACAACUGUUAGCGGGUUUUACGUAUGGGUAGGUGGAGCUGGAGAUGCUAAAUUGCACGUGACAUGAGGAAGAUCACCGAUUGGGCGACUGGCAUUGUAUCUACCACUUAUCCCAGCCGGCAUAUAUGUAAGCUGUGCCUGAAGAGAAAUGUACCAUAUGGUCUUGACAUCAUCACAUGCUUGUUCGUCCCUUAAAUGGAAGGACAAGACUCGAGGGUGGCCCCGUUGCAAGAAGUUUUGAAGGUCAUGUCAGACUCUAACACAAAUCAUUAAGUCUCAGAACGCUCUAGCAUGUGUAUGAGAUAUAGCCAGAGUGACGGAGGGGCAGACAAAGAAAGGUGUGUUCUUUAAAUGUGAAGAUGGUGGAAUACCGUACUACAUCUCUAAGACUGUGCAUCUUCACAUUAUUGUCCAUGCAGCUGCAUAGUAUGACGAACGUUCUUUUAAAUGCUUCUUGCAAUAGCGAGUUACCCCGCCGUCAGCUAGAAGAUCUCGCCUCCUUCCAGCUAGAAGUUGGAGGAUCUGUCCAAGAGCUUACAGAUGAAGACUGUAGACAUUCGUCUCGCAUCGCUGGUAAUGCGUCUUUAAGACAGGGCAACGAUACCGACGCACGCAGCAGUCUUGCGUCCACGUGGCUCAAGGAUACCGAUGCAAUCAUCGGUCCCGUAGCCAUGAUGUUCAACGUCACCGAACGCAGCGUUGCGCGGGCUGGAGGCGCAGCACGAUUUUUGUGGAGAGUAUUGCAAUGGCACCCAGAAGAUCUCAAAGAGCUCGAGGUGUUUCAAGUGGCCGCACUGCCGCAGGUGUUACUGCGACGACAGCUGUGGUAUGUACGGUGAUUGCUGUCCCAGCAGGGAUCGAAAACAAGCCGCGCUGCCGUUAGGACAAAAGACUCGUUCACUAAGUGCGUCAGCGUCUGUCAUGGAAGGAGAAGGCAUCUCGUAAGUGCGGUCUGCAGCUGUCCGCCACACGCCCCCAGCACUGCCAGGCGUGACUGUCGCGGUAGUGGAUCAUCCGACGCAAGCACACCCCCGCACCCUGUCUUGUCGGCCAAUCUCUCCGUCCUGUACUGCAGUGCGGACUGCGCCUGGUGCCACGGCGAGUCAGACGUGGUCGAGUUGACUGCCGGAUGCCGAGAGGAGCACGACGAAGACUAUGUUAAUAGCUGGGCUGACGACAGCCAACACGAUGCGAUCCUGAUGGCGUGGCAAGUCCCUCGGAACUACUCACCUCGUGCGUGCUACGACGUGCAUUUCACUAAAGAGCCUCAGCAGGUCAUCAGCUGCAAUGGCACCUGGUUUCCAGAAGAAACUGCGAAGAAUAUCGCCGAUUUGUGCGCCAACUACACGUCUCCCGUGCUAGCUGACGGCGUAAUUUUCGAAAAUCUCUUUUGUGCACUUUGCAAUGAUAUUAGACCUAAAUGCUUGCCUGUUACUACUUUACGUUCUGUUUCUGGAACAUCAAUUCUCGUAAAUUUAAUGGGGUCGACGACCGUUGGACCCAAGUCGUGCAAGUCGGAAGAGUGGUAUGAUGUCGCCAAGGCAAGUACAAAGUCAAAGCGAGAGCAGUCUUGCUGAGUUCGUUUCUUUUUUCACCCCAGUAAGAGAAAAGUCAUAUUUUGCACACCAGUGAAAUGACUGCAGUAUUUGGGAGUCAGUUAUUACAGUUGCUAAAAAUCUAUUGUAUAAAUUGUGCCUUUUGUUGUUCAUACACACAAUAGUUUCUAGAUGCGAUGUUAGUGAUAAUUAAGUUGUUUUAGUUGGUUUAAAACGUCAGAGCAAAGAUUCAUACAAAGUCGGCAUCGAUGAUCAAAGAGAACCAUUCGAUUCUCUCUGCAGUAUCAUUUUCAGUCUGAUGUUACACCACUUAAGUUAUAUCACCAGAAAAAAUUUUCCAUUCAAUCUAUGUAUCUGCUAAACUCUAGAUCAGCGGUUCUCAAUCUUUUACUUGUGACGCCCCCCUGACAAACAAAGGUACAUCCGCGCGCCCCCCUUAGCCAGCAAUGUAAGCUAAUUUCACUAAUACCGGUAUAAGAAU
rnacentral:misc_RNA from 1 species